UCACAAAUUCAAGGCCACAGCAGAAGUGCUCAUGGCACAGCCUGUCAGAUUCAAUGAAUCUGAGAAUUCUGCU
rnacentral:ribozyme from 1 species